rnacentral:rRNA from 1 species
AUUGAACGCUGGCGGCAUGCCUUACACAUGCAAGUCGAACGGCAGCACGGGAGCAAUCCUGGUGGCGAGUGGCGAACGGGUGAGUAAAGUAUCGGAACGUGCCCAGUCGUGGGGGAUAACGUAGCGAAAGUUACGCUAAUACCGCAUACGAUCUAUGGAUGAAAGCGGGGGAUCGCAAGACCUCGCGCGAUUGGAGCGGCCGAUAUCAGAUUAGGGAGUUGGUGGGGUAAAGGCUCACCAAGCCGACGAUCUGUAGCUGGUCUGAGAGGACGACCAGCCACACUGGGACUGCGACACGACCCAGACUCCUACGGGAGGCAGCAGUGGGGAAUUUUGGACAAUGGGCGCAAGCCUGAUCCAGCCAUGCCGCGUGCAGGAUGAAGGCCUUCGGGUUGUAAACUGCUUUUGUACGGAACGAAAAGGUUUGGCUUAAUACCUGCCAAGCUGAGAGUACCGGAAGAAUAAGCACCGGCUAACUACGUGCCAGCAGCCGCAGUAA